UACGUAGGGGGCAAGCGUUGUCCGGAAUCAUUGGGCGUAAAGAGCGCGUAGGCGGUCCGGUAAGUCCGCUCUGAAAGCCCGGGGGCUCAACCCCGGGAGGCGGGCGGAUACUGUCGGGCUAGAGUCCGGAAGAGGCGAGUGGAAUUCCUGGUGUAGCGGUGAAAUGCGCAGAUAUCGGGAAGGAACACCUGUGGCGAAAGCGGCUCACUGGACCACAACUGACGCUGAGGCGCGAAAGCUAGGGGAGCAAAGCGGAU
rnacentral:rRNA from 1 species